rnacentral:misc_RNA from 1 species
GAUGAAGAACGUAGCGAAAUGCGAUAAGUAAUGUGAAUUGCAGAAUUCAGUGAAUCAUCGAAUCUUUGAACGCACAUUGCGCCCGCCAGUACUCUGGCGGGCAUGCCUGUUCGAGCGUCAUUUCAACCCUCGGGCCCCGCAUUCGUGCGGGCCCCGGCGUUGGGGACCGGCCUCCGCAUCGGACGGUCGCCCCCGAAACCCAGUGGCGGUCCCGCCGCGGCCUUCUCUGCGUAGUAGCAUACACCUCGCACUGGAGAGCGGCGCGGCCACGCCGUAAAAGAAACGAACUUUCUGAAGGUUGACCUCGGAUCAGGUAGGAAUACCCGCUGAACUUAAGCAUAUCAAUAAGCGGAGGA